GUGAGAGGAAGGUCUCUACUGUAGACUACUGGCUUAGAGAAGACUAGCAGGUCUCUACUGUAGACUACUGGCUUUGUGAAGGCAAGCAGGUCUCUACUAUAGACUCCUGGCUUAGUGAAGACUAGCAGGUCUCUACUGUAGACUACAGGCUUAGUGAAGACUAGCAGGUCUCUACUGUAGACUACAGGCUUAGUGAAGACUAGCAGGUCUCUACUGUAGACUACAGGCUUAGUGAAGACUAGCAGGUCUCUACUGUAGACUACAGGCUUAGUGAAGACUAGCAGGUCUCUACUGUAGACUACAGGCUUAGUGAAGACUAGCAGGUCUCUACUGUAGACUACAGGCUUAGUGAAGACUAGCAGGUCUCUACUGUAGACUACAGGCUUAGUGAAGACUAGCAGGUCUCUACUGUAGACUACAGGCUUAGUGAAGACUAGCAGGUCUCUACUGUAGACUACAGGCUUAGUGAAGACUAGCAGGACGUGUAGUGUGGACGUGUUGACCCGUUAGCCUCCCUCCCUCCAUGCACCAUAAAAGCGCCUGCAAGAAGGAAGGUUUCUUCAUGGUAAAUAUGAACAUAUUAAGUUCUAAAUGGCUGUGAGAAGCAGAGGUUUGGCUACACUCCCAAUCCCUAUAAGCUCCUCUCCUAUCCCCAUAUAAUGAAUGAACAGCGUAUCAUGCUAGUUAAAUCACAUUCAUCCUGUCCCCUCUCCUCUCCUCUCCUCUCCUCUCCUCUCCUCUCCUCUCCUCUCCUC